UUUUUCUUUUUAUGCCAUCUGGGGGAUGGCUAGGCUUGAGAUUAACUUAUGAAGGUCGUGGCAAGCUGCGAUAAGCCUGGGCGAGAAGCAUGCAUUCAUUGAACCUGGGAUUGCCGAAUGAGAUUCUUAUUACUCUUUACCGAGUAAUGAUCCACAUUUGUGGAUUGGGAACCCACUGAAUUGAAACAUCUUAGUAGGUGGAGGAAGAGAAAACAAUUGUGAUGCCGUUAGUAACGUCGAGCGAAAACGGUAUAGGACAAACUGAAUCCCUACUAGAAAUUAAUAGGGAGAUGUGGUGUUGUUAAGAUUCAAAAUAUUUAUGGUGGCCUGUUAUUAUCCUUGUUUAAUUAUUGUUGGAAUACUUUAACCGUAGAGGGUGAUAGUCCCGUAGACUUUGGGGUAAUUUGGUCAUUUUUUUUGAAUUCUUGAGUAGCGUUCAUUGGAAAUUGGGCGUGAAUCAAAUUAUAGGGAGGCAUCGACUUCCAAUUCUAAACAUUACUCAAGACCGAUAGUGUAUUUAGUACCGCGAGGGAAUGCUGAAAAGAACCCUUUUAUUAGGGGGUGAAAAGUACCUGAAACCAGAUGGUGACAGCCUGGCAUGGCAUGAAAGGAAUGAUAAUUCAUUGAAUUUCUUCUGGCAACACUUGAAAUUCUUUGUCUUUGACUAGUGUUGUGUCAUUCGUCUUGAAACACGAGCCAGGGAGUUUGUAGUUGUGGCGAGGCUAAAAAGCUUAAGCUUUGUAGUCGCAGGGAAACCGAGUAAGACGUAACUUCUUGUGUGGUCUUCUGAUUAUAAAAUGUCACAGUCACAGCUUUAAAACCCGAAGCCGGUCGAUCUAUCCGUGAGCAGGAUGAAAUCGCUCAUACGAGUGAUGGAGGUUCGCAGAGUUGUUGUUCUGCAAAACACUCUUAUGACUUGCGGUUAGUGGUGAAAGGUCAAUCAAGAUCGGUGACAGCUGGUUCCUAUCGAAAUAGCUCCAAGGCUAGACUGAUUGGAGAUAGCUGGCAAGGUAGAGCACUGAUUGAGUGUUUAGGGUGGGAAACUACUCGGCAUUCUGUAAAACUCCAAACUUGCUAGCAUCGUAGAAGAUCGGAUCGAGGGGCGUGGGGUAAGCCUGUGUCCCGAAAGAGAAACAACUCAGACUUUGGUUAAGGUCCCCAAGUGCCGGAUUAGUUUAAGGGAGUCAUUAGCCCUAGACAGUGGGGAGGUGGGCUUAGAAGCAGCCACCCUUUAACGAGUUCGUAACAGAUCACCCAUCGAGGUUAAUGGCAUCUAAAAUGGAAGGGGUUAAGUCGGCCACCGAUACCAAUGAACAUAUACUUUUGUAUAUGAUUUCGUAGAUAGGCGUCCUGUUGGAUUUGAAGCUGGGGUGUGAAUUCCAGUGGAUCUUGCAGGAAUGUGGAUCCUGGUAGUAGUAGCAGCAAAGUAAAGUGUGAAUCUUUAUCGCCGAAGGGGCUAGGGUUCCUUGGCAAUGUUCGUCAGCCAAGGGUUAGGCGGUCCUAAGGGUAACGGUAAUUCCAGUUAUUCGAAAGGGAAACAGGUUAAUAUUCCUGUCCAACACAAUUUACACGGCAACGUUUAUGUUGGAUAUUUUUGACACUUCGUGAUAUGCCUUGUAAGAUUGUCGUCUUAUUCAAAUUUUAGAAGCUAAGGGAGAACUGUAAUAGUGAGAACUUGGUGUAUUUAUGAUUGAGUCUCUCGUUUUUUUGAGAGAUUAUCUGGUUGAUUCAUGGAGUCCUUGAAAAGAAAAUAUCCAUUUAUUUGAUUGUGUUUCCGUACCGAGAUCCGACACAGGUGCCCCUAGUUUAGUAGACUUAGGCGUGUUAGGGUAAACCAGCUAAGGGAAUUCGGCAAUUUAGCUCCGUAACUUUGGGAUAAGGAGUGCCAGCUACGUGUAGUAGCUGGUCGCAGUGACUAGGGAGGUUCGACUGUUUAAUAAAAACAUAGCUCCCAGCUAGCCCGUAAGGGUGUGUACUGGGGGCGACACCUGCCCAGUGCUGGCACGUGAAGCUGGGGUUCAACCUGGUGAAGCGCCAGUAAACGGCGGGGGUAACUAUAACCCUCUUAAGGUAGCGAAAUGCCUUGCCGGACAAGUACCGGCCUGCAUGAAUGGUAGAACGAAAUCUCCACUGUCCCUAGCUGGAACCUAGUGAACCUGCUAUUCUGGUGCACAAGCCAGAGACUUCUAUUGGGAAGCGAAGACCCCGUAGAGUUUUACUGCAGUCUGCUAUUGAGGCUUGGUUGCAAGUAUGCAGCGUAAGUAGGAGACUUCGACGGUAUGUCGUCAGGCAUAUCUGAGUCAUUCAUGAGACACUACUUUCUUGUGACUGUGUUUCUAA
rnacentral:rRNA from 1 species